rnacentral:lncRNA from 1 species
AAAGCCAAAUCUGCUGCUUCUCUCUCUUCUCUCUUCUCUCGCACAGAAUUGGAAACACUGGUUAUAUUACCAAGGCUUUGACUGGAAUGUCAUAUCUGAGAGAAACAUACAGACUCGGACAUAACAAGACAGCUUUUGAGGAACAAAGGUUAACUCUCUGAAAUAAAGCCACUUGGAAAUAUUGGCCUGGUACCUUCAUUAUGAAUUCCCAGUAACCUGGUAAGGUAGACUAAAGAAUGUUACUCCCUCUGGCGGGUACAAACAACCUCAAUAUUUUUGGGACCUCAUGAAAAGAGGAAUUCACCAAAAUCUGUAGGUAUUGCAGGCAGAAUCUGAUGACAAGUUCUUGGUCUGACUUUCCUGGCCUCAAGAGGCCUUUAAAGUUCAAUCUGAGAUUCCUUAUAAAAAGUUUCAGUAAAGCAUAUUUAAAAGAACCUAUAUGAUCAAUUGCUAAUCUUACUGUACUUAUGUAAAUAAUUGGGCCAAAUUUAUUAAAACUAGACAUUUUGUAAACCAGUGGGUCUUAAUUUGGCUAUUUUUGGUAAAAAUGAGGGUGAUUUUAGAGAGAAAAAAUAAUGUUUCAAUAAAAAUUAUAGUACACAUUUAUAAAUAUUGGAUUUUGGUCUGUCAAUUGUCUUUGAGGUUUUUGUUUUAUAUCUGUAAACUCAACUAGAUCCUAAAUUAUUCUAGUCUCCUGAAAUAUCUGAAAUAACAAAUCUCCAAACUAACGUUUUCCAUUUUUUUCCAUCAGUUUCACUUGAAAUCAUUAAAAACUGAAUCUUCCCUUUUUCCUGAAGCCUUACAAACUGGAGCUGGACAACUUGAUAUAAACUUAAGAGUGAUUCAUGUCUACCGCUGUGUAAGCCACUCAGAAAGAUACCUGAGUGCCCGAUGACACUAUCAGAGACAUUCAAACUACAGAAGAUGCUUUGACCCUGACUUCUGGGAAUCUUGAUUGGCUGCCCCUGGGCUCAGGAGCUAGUUUAUAAUUUACUCCAACCAUUAACCUUGUUUUUUCUUUUUGUUUCUCUAUGCUUCUUAUUAAAUACCUGGUUACUUACUUACAUGAUACAGGCCUAACUUUGAGAGCCCAUCUACCUCACUGCCUUAUUAAAAGACUUCUUCAACAAGAUGGAACAACCUAUGCCCUGAUUCAGCAGGAAGUAGCUGGAUCAGUCAUCACCCGAAAUCCCUCAAGAUUGAGGAACAAACAUAAAAUGGGGGUGGAUUCAUGAUGGCCCUGAUAUCAUUUUGCC